CCUACGGGGAGCAGCAGUAGGGAAUCUUCGGCAAUGGACGGAAGUCUGACCGAGCAACGCCGCUUGAGUGAAGAAGGUUUUCUGAUCGUAAAGCUCUGUUGUUAGAGAAGAACGUUGGUAGUAGUGGAAAAUCUACCAAGUGACGGUAACUAACCAGAAAGGGACGGCUAACUACGUGCCAGCAGCCGCGGUAAUACGUAGGUCCCGAGCGUUGUCCGGAUUUAUUGGGCGUAAAGCGAGCGCAGGCGGUUCUUUAAGUCUGAAGUUAAAGGCAGUGGCUUAACCAUUGUACGCUUUGGAAACUGGAGGACUUGAGUGCAGAAGGGGAGAGUGGAAUUCCAUGUGUAGCGGUGAAAUGCGUAGAUAUAUGGAGGAACACCGGUGGCGAAAGCGGCUCUCUGGUCUGUAACUGACGCUGAGGCUCGAAAGCGUGGGGAGCAAACAGGAUUAGAUACCCGUGUAGUC
rnacentral:rRNA from 1 species